AGUAGAGAGUGGUGGAGAGAAAGAGAGAAGGUCAGAGAGGUCAGUAAAGUCCAGACCAUGCACAGCUUCAGGUCAGGUGAAGAAUGGGAAGCUAUUGGCAGAUUUUAAGCAGGGGAAUGUCAUGAUCUAAUGUUUUCAAAAGACCACUCUAGCAGGAGUGUGGUGGAGUGAGAGUGGGUGUGGGAAGAGCAGUUAUAUGACCAUUUAAGCGAUCUUAGCAGACAUGAUGGCAGCUCUGCAAUGAAGACCAGGAGAUGAACACGGGAUACAUUUUGGAGUUGUAGCUGAUCGGGCAUACUGAUGGAUUAGAGGGGGGUAGCAGUAAGCAAGUGGUUGAUGCUGUUAGCUGGGACUCAACUGGGGCUAUCUGCCAGAACUCACACAUGUGGUCUCCUCAUGUGGCAUGGACUCCCUCACAUCAUGGCAACCUAAGACUUCUUAUAUAGCAGCUCCAGGCUCCAAAGGGGUCUUUGAAGAGUUCACCCAGGAGCUUCAAAAUGAGGAACAGUGCUUGCAAUUUCCUUGAAUACUAAGAACAUCCAGCUAUUUGUAGACAGAUAAAAGAGAGCAGCCCCCAGAGGUGCUGAUCCAGCCAAGAUAGCUCAUCCAGUUCUCAACAGGACUAAAGGACUUAUCCUAUGCCUAGUUUUUCACUCCCCUCAGAGGGUCAGGUGAACUGGGGAGCAAGAGGAACUGGCGCCUUUCCCUACUUCUCUUUCAAUUCGUUUAUUGAGGAUUGAUGGGAAAACGCUGAGCUAGGCAUUCAUGAUCCCCGUGACCUGAAGCCAAUUUAUCCAUCUAGCUAAGUCAUUCAUUCUCCUCUUCCUCAGCCUCUCUUGCAGUCAGAACCCACCACAAAUGCCUUUUCCUGUCAUGUCCCCACAGACAAUUCAAUUUUGAAUUGUGGUUCGCUAAAUACUCAAGGUCUCUUUCAGAGAAUCUCCCUGCAUCUGUCCUUAUUUGUUUUGCAUUUUUACCUGAAACUCAGGGUUUUAUAUUUACACUAAAUAAAUAUCAUCGUAUUAAUCUCGGCCCAUCAUUCCAUCUCUUCUCUCAGACAUGAGUGCAAGGAAGUGAAAUUCCUUGCUCAUUCCCUCAUAUAUAUAUGGGGCAAGAGAGUGAGGCUUGCCACUUGUUACUUCUAAAAUACAGAAGUGCUGGAAAGUUAGGCUAUUGUUCCUUGUCUACUGACACACAUUGUAGGAGAACGAGCCAGCGAUAUUGCUCACACGAAUCAUUCUAUUAACCAUAAAUCGAUUCUAUUUAGAGUACAAGCAUAUCAACCAUAACCACACUUUCAUUCUAACAUCUCAUUUGCUGUAACAAAUUACUAAAUUAUUUCCAAGUAUGUUUACAUUAUACAUUCAAUGAGCACUGUGACUAUCUGUAAUUGGGCUCCACCCCAUCCCCCACACCAGUAAGACUCUCAUUCUAUUCUCAUGAGUUUAUUUUCCAGUUUCAGCAUCACCUUAACACACUCCACUGUGACCUGUGUGAAUUCUUUUCCAGUCCUUGCUGCUUUUUCUGACUUAGAGUCUGUUUGUGAAUUCCAUGCACCUUCCUUUCUCACAGGAGGCUGUCUUAGUUGGCUUUCUAGGUAGUUCCUUCCUGCUUCUUUGGACUUACUUCUCCUACUUGCUGUUUUUUCACUAGAAGUUCUUUGACUAACUCUCUUUCUCCUUCUGUUUAGCAUAGAAUUCCUUCAGUUAGAGAACUUUGUUUGCAAGUGACAGAAAACACAAACGGGCUUAAGCAAAAAAGGAAACUGAUGAAAACCAAAGGAUGCCAGAUUCAGCUGCAACUUUAUCUAGAAACUCAGGCCUUUCUGAAAGUUUUGAGGAUUCCAGAAUACCUCUUCCUUUCACUACACAGAAUUAAUUUCUCCUCCUCUCGCCUCCUUUCUCUUAGACCUACCUUGAUUUUAUCAGUAUAACUUUGCAUGGUGUUUGGCUUAUGGGAACCAAACUUGCCUGAAAGAUUGUGAGUACCUUGAAAGCAGAGACUUUGUUUUAUUGUUUUCUGAAUUCCCUUGUACCGUAUGCAAGGAUUAGUAUACAGUAUGUGCUCAAAAAUAUUUUUUGAAUUAACAGAAUGACAGAAUAGAGUGGUUUUUCAAACAGAUUCUUCCUUGUGUAAUUCUUCUCAUUGCUUCCUCAAUCUUCUCCACCUAGAAUUCUAGGGGGAAGGUCAGGUGACACAACUGAUAGUUUGAAUGCUAUUACUGACAUAACAACCUCUAAAGUUUCCUCUUCCAGUCUUGCUCUGGAGAAAUGAUUUUAGGUUAGGUCAGCUCCCUAAAGAAGCAAGAGACAAUUUUCUAAUGGAAGCCAAUCCAUCUUAACUGCUCCCCAUAAUUGUUCUCAAAGUGUUUUUGAUAUCUCAAUCAUCAAUUUCUACAGUAAAAUUAUUCUGAAUCAUUCUUGUUUUACUAAACACAUCCCCAAGUAACAUCUUAGGAAAGAACAUAUGAGAUAAAAUUUUAAGUUCUUUCAUGUCUGACAAUAUCCUUAUUUUGCCUACAAUCAUUUGGUAGGAUUGCACAUUCUAGAUUAACAAUCAUUUCCCUCUGAAUUUAGAAGGUAUUAUUUCACUGUUUUCUAGUAUCCAGUGUUUGGGAUGAGAAGUCUAGUGGCAAUUUUAUUGUCCUUCCUUUGUAUGUGAUGUAGUAGUAAGAUCCAUAUGCAGUGACAACCACAAAUUGACAACCACAAAUCUGUGUGGCCUAAAACAACAAAAUUUAUUGAUUGAUUACCGUAUGUCACCAUCACAAGUCAGCCUUGGGUUUUGCUCCAUGCUAUGCCACAGCAGAAUCAAUAUGAGAGAACCUUUGCCACCUGGAGGAUGGCUGGUCUGUAGCAGAGAGAUCAUGAGAGUAAACUGCACAUUAGCUUUAAAGGCUUCAUCCAAAAGGGUAUCCAUCACUUUCACAUUUCGUUGGCCACAACUGAAGUAGCCAUGCUCAACUUUAAGAAAG
rnacentral:lncRNA from 1 species